GUGCCUACUGAACUGAUAACAGU
rnacentral:miRNA from 17 species